UAUACCAGAGAAGAACAAAAAAACACAUGGAAGCUUAAAAAGUUGUCAACAAUCCUUUCCCAUCUAGGCCAUCAAAAUAUGACUCUAGAUAUUCUUAAACUGGACAUUGAAGGUUACGAGUGGGAUGUAUUAGAAAAUAUUAUACAGGAAGAUCUUCUUUCCAAGAUAAAACAAUUAGAGGUCGAAUACCACAUUUUCCCAGAUUUUCCAAAGCGGGAAAAGUACGUAGAUGUGCUUAAAACUUUCCAGUCUUUGUGGAAGCUUAAUUUCAGACGAUAUUACAAAUUCGUUCAUCAUUUUACCCCGAAUGAAAAUAUGGCACAUUUGCAGGCAGAUGUCGCAUACGUGAAUGGUUAUUGAUUCACCUUGUAAUCGAGUGCAUUUAACAAAUAUUUAAGCCAAAAUCUAAA